rnacentral:rRNA from 1 species
AAUCAACGCUGGCGGCGUGCCUCAGACAUGCAAGUCGAACGAUUAAAGCUCCCUUCGGGGAGUGCAUAAAGUGGCGCACGGGUGAGUAACACGUAGGUAAUCUACCCUCGAGUGGGGAAUAACGUCCGGAAACGGACGCUAAUACCGCAUAAUGCAGCGGCACCGCAAGGUGACAGUUGUUAAAGAUUUAUCGCUUGAGGAGGAGCUUGCGGCAGAUUAGCUAGUUGGUAAGGUAAUGGCUUACCAAGGCCGCGAUCUGUAACCGGUCUAAGAGGACGGUCGGUCACACUGACACUGAAUAACGGGUCAGACUCCUACGGGAGGCAGCAGUCGGGAAUUUUGGGCAAUGGGCGAAAGCCUGACCCAGCAACGCCGCAUGAAGGAUGAAGUAUUUCGGUAUGUAAACCUCGAAAGAAUGGGAAGAAUAAAUGACGGUACCAUUUAUAAGCUCCGGCUAACUACGUGCCAGCCGCCGCGGUAAUAC